rnacentral:rRNA from 1 species
CAGCCGCCGCGGUAAUACGUAGGGUGCGAGCGUUAAUCGGAAUUACUGGGCGUAAAGCGUGCGCAGGCGGUUAUAUAAGACAGAUGUGAAAUCCUCGGGCUCAACCUGGGACCUGCAUUUGUGACUGUACAGUUAGAGUACGGUAGAGGGGGAUGGAAUUCCGCGUGUAGCAGUGAAAUGCAUAGAUAUGCGGAGGAACACCGAUGGCGAAGGCAAUCCCCUGGACCUGUACUGACGCUCAUGCACGAAAGCGUGGGGAGCAAACAGGAUUAGAUACCCCCGUAGUCCCUGUCUCUUAUAC